rnacentral:rRNA from 1 species
UGGGGAAUCUUGCGCAAUGGACGGAAGUCUGACGCAGCCACGCCGCGUGAGUGAAGAAGGCCUUCGGGUUGUAAAGCUCUGUCGUGAGGGACGAAAAUCAUAUAGGUUAAUAGCCUAUGUGACUGACGGUACCUUAAAAGGAAGCACCGGCUAACUUCGUGCCAGCAGCCGCGGUAAUACGAGGGGUGCAAGCGUUGCUCGGAAUCAUUGGGCGUAAAGGGCAGGUAGGUUGUCAUAUUUGUCUGAGGUGAAAUCCCUGGGCUUAACCCAGGACGUGCCUUAGAAACGGUAUGACUAGAGUUCUAGAGGGGUUCGCGGAAUUCCCGGUGUAGCGGUGAAAUGCGUAGAGAUCGGGAGGAACACCAGAGGCGAAGGCGGCGAACUGGAUAGAUACUGACAC